UCCGUAGGUGAACCUGCGGAAGGAUCAUUACCGAGUUCUCGGGCUUCGGCUCGAAUCUCCCACCCUUUGUGAACAUACCUCUGUUGCUUUGGCGGCUCUUUGCCGCGAGGAGGCCCUCGCGGGCCCCCCCGCGCGCUUUCCGCCAGAGGACCUUCAAACUCCAGUCAGUAAACGUCGACGUCUGAUAAACAAGUUAAUAAACUAAAACUUUCAACAACGGAUCUCUUGGUUCUGGCAUCGAUGAAGAACGCAGCGAAAUGCGAUAAGUAAUGUGAAUUGCAGAAUUCAGUGAAUCAUCGAAUCUUUGAACGCACAUUGCGCCCCCUGGCAUUCCGGGGGGCAUGCCUGUUCGAGCGUCAUUACAACCCUCAAGCUCUGCUUGGUAUUGGGCGCCGUCCUCUCUGCGGACGCGCCUUAAAGACCUCGGCGGUGGCUGUUCAGCCCUCAAGCGUAGUAGAAUACACCUCGCUUUGGAGCGGUUGGCGUCGCCCGCCGGACGAACCUUCUGAACUUUUCUCAAGGUUGACCUCGGAUCAGGUAGGGAUACCCGCUGAACUUAAGCAUAUCAAUAAGCGGAGGA
rnacentral:rRNA from 1 species